CCGCAGGGGUGCUCUGUCGCCGGGGCCUCGCAAUGGGGUUUCGGAGGAAAGUCCGGGCAACACAGAGUACCGUCCUUCCUAACGGGAAGAGGCUCGCAAGGGUCUGUAAAGCGUAACAGAGAACAAACCGCCGCAGUUUUCUGAGCAGAUGUUCUGCGGUAAGGGUGAAACGGCGGGGUAAGAGCCCACCGCGGGUGUGGUGACACAGCCGGCACGACGCACGACGGGUUGCAAGAUCAUGUAUAUCGGCGCCACGAGGGUUACUCGCCCCAUGCCGAAGGGUAGAUCGCACGAGAUUGCCGGUGACGGCCGUCCAAGAUAGAUGACAGAGGCCUUUCUGUUGUUUGCGGCUUUCGGGCCGUCGACAAGGAGGAGGCACAGAACCCGGCUUAUAGCCCCUGCGGUGCU
rnacentral:RNase_P_RNA from 1 species